rnacentral:tRNA from 1 species
GUUAAUGUAGCACAACCUGGUACUGCAAAAGGCCUAAGCCCUUAUCAUGGGGGUUCAAUUCCUCUCGUUAACU